CGCGGCCUAUCAGCUUGUUGGUGGGGUGAUGGCCUGCCAAGGCGACGACGGGUAGCCGGCCUGAGAGGGCGACCGGCCACACUGGGACUGAGACACGGCCCAGACUCCUACGGGAGGCAGCAGUGGGGAAUAUUGCGCAAUGGGCGGAAGCCUGACGCAGCGACGCCGCGUGGGGGAUGACGGCCCUCGGGUUGUAAACCUCUUUCGGCCCCGACGAAGCGUGAGUGACGGUAGGGGUAGAAGAAGCACCGGCCAACUACGUGCCAGCAGCCGCGGUAACACGUAGGGUGCGAGCGUUGUCCGGAAUUAUUGGGCGUAAAGAGCUCGUAGGCGGUCUGUCGCGUCGGUCGUGAAAACUUGGGGCUUAACCCUGGGCUUGCGGUCGAUACGGGCAUGACUGGAGUUCGGCAGGGGAGACUGGAAUUCCUGGUGUAGCGGUGAAAUGCGCAGAUAUCAGGAGGAACACCGGUGGCGAAGGCGGGUCUCUGGGCCGAUACUGACGCUGAGGAGCGAAAGCGUGGGGAGCGAACAGGAUUAGAUACCCUGGUAGUCCACGCCGUAAACGGUGGGCGCUAGGUGUGGGGGCCAUUCCACGGUCUCUGUGCCGCAGCUAACGCAUUAAGCGCCCCGCCUGGGGAGUACGG
rnacentral:rRNA from 1 species